rnacentral:lncRNA from 1 species
UCAAACAUAUGAUUCUCCAUCAAAUCAUGAGAUUCAUAUUUGCCUUGGACGAUUGAUUCCUUUCUUGAUCUACUCAGGCGUCACCAAUCUCACCAAUCUCUCUAGUACUCAUCUCAAUAUUCUCAUUUCGCCUCUCAGCUUCCAUUCACCAUUCUUUCUUUUCCCAUCAAAGUCCUCUUCUACAUAGACUUCACUUCACAUAUCUACAAUUUUUUUCUUGAAACUGUGUUCAUCCACCGUCAAAUGAAUCGAUUCAAGCAAGAGGUAUGAUUUUCUGUUUUCAUCUUUCAUUGUUCAGCAUAUGCUCAAUGUUGUCUUCAAUGAACCAAUCGUUCACAGAUCUAAAUUUUAUGCUUUUUUGUUUUUGCAUGUAGCCUUUCUCAUUUACUCAACUUGUUUUACUCGAGAAGGAAAUAUUUUUCCACCUUCUUCCGCCUUUUGGAUGUUUUACCUAUAAUGUCUUCAAAUGUAUGAUUUUCAAGGUUCUACCUUUAAGCAUGAGUCAACAUUUUUCCAUCUUAUUAAACCUCCUAUCACUCUAUAUCACAAAUGUAUUUUGAUAUGUCUCGAAGCUCCAGUCACUCGAUGUCAAAGGUUUGUCAAGAUCUAUAUUUUUGAGGUUAUGUGGAAAAAAACACAUUUUUAUAUCAUCAAACUCAUGAAUUUCAAGCUUCUACCUAUAUGUAUGUACAAUAUUUUACUGACUCUACAUUUUUCAUCUCAAAAGGAAAUAUUUUACACCUUAUUGAACCUUCAAUGACUUCCCCCCAAAAUGUAAGCGAAUAUCAAUUUUUUUGAGUUAUUUGAAGCAAAAACACAUUUUUAUAUAGUAGCAUGAUUGUCACCUUCUACCUUUCUACAUAUACAAUAUGUCACCCACUCUACCAAUUUUUUUCUAAAAAGGAAAUAUUUUCCGCACCUUAUUGAACCUAUAGCCACUUACCCUCAAAAUGUGUCUCAAUAUCAUUUUCUUUAUAUUUGAAGGAAUAAACUUUUCUUAUAUCGUCACACAUAUGCAUUUUUAAGUUUUUCUCUUUCUACUACUCCAUUAUUUUGCUUUUUUAUUCUAUUUUUAUGGAGGAAAUUUUAUACAAUUGGUUAUAAUAUUUUUUAUCUUGAUAUUCUUUCUAUGCUUACAGCUGCUUAAUAAUUUGAUCUGAUGCACAUACUUCUAUAAGAUAUUUGUGAGGUGUGCCUAGAAAUGUUGACAAAAAAUGAAGAGAAAAUAAAAAAUUUCUUUGAAGAACACCUUCACACCGAUGAAGAGAUCCACUUUGUUGUUGCCAGAAGUGGUAUUUUUGUUUAUUUUCCUAUUUUUUUAUUCUCAAAAAUUGAAACUUAGGGAGAUACUUUAUAAGCAUGUGUAUAAAAGGUCUUAGUUCAUUUAGCUUCUUAUGCCUACUAUGAUUGAUUAUUUUUAUUUUCUGCAUGCAUUUAAAAUCUAUAACCUUAGUCUUUAUAUUGGAGAGAAUAAGAUGUUACUUAUUUGAUUUCAAAUUUUGAAAUGAUUUUUCUGUAUUGGGUUGUCAUAAAUAUUCUAUAGUUCCAUACUGUAUCAAUUCUCAAUUAUUUGGUCAUUGAGAUUUCAUGAUAGAUUAAGAUUAUGUUUGGUUUUGGAAUGAAAGUAGAAGGAAAAAAGUGGAAAGAAAGAGAACUGAAGGAAAGAAAAGUAGUAGAAAAUGAGAUGAUAGUUUUAUUGUUUGGUAUGAUUGAAAAUGGAAGGAAAGUGAGAGAAAAGAAAAACACAUUUAUAUAUAAUGUAUUGAAAAUGACAUAAGUGUUCUCAUUAUAUCUAUAUAAUUAUGUAGAUAUCUAAUUUUUAAAUUACAUAAUUAAAUAAUUUAUUUUUAAUAAUAUUAAUUAAUAUUUUUUAAGUAACAUAAUCUAAGUUCAAUAACAACAUUUGUUUAUAAAAUUCAAAGAAAAUCAUUAACAUUUUAUAUACAUCUUUUUCACAAUAGUGUAUCUAGAAGAAAAUAAAAUUGAUAUUCGACAAUCACUUUUAUAUUUUAAUCAUCUCACUUCUAUAUAUUUGUGUUUUGUCUUUCUAAUUUAUUUAUUAUUUGUUACUUUGUUGAUAAUUUUAAGUAAUGAUAUUUCUUUUUUCUUUUCACUUCCUCUUUUAGUAUACAUAGUUACUAUUUAUUUGUGAGCUCAAAAGCAACAAAAAUAAAAUUAAGUUAACUAAUUUCACAUAAAAAUCAAUAUAAACAAUGAAAUUUACUACAUUGUAUUUAUUUUCACUUAGAUUAUUGUUUUUUCAAUUCAUGAUGAAGGGCAAAUUUAGAAUUUUUGUUGGUUUUCCUCCCUUCCCUUAUUUUCUUCCCAACUUAGGGAGAAAAGUUUUUUGUGAGACCCGAGCAUAAUUUUUCCUGCCUCCCUAUUUAAUUUUGGAUUCAAAUGGUGGAAAUUUUCCACCACUUUUCUUUCCUCCUCUUUUCUUUCCUCAGCUUUUCUUUUCUUUUGUUUUCUUUACAACCAAACAUAAUGUAAAUAUUAACUCUACUUUUCUCUCAUUUUACCUAUUUUUUUCCUCUAAAGGUAAUACUUUUCCAUCCUUAAUGAACCUAUUGUGUCUUACCCUAAAAAGGUCUCUCAAUACCAAUUUUUUAGUAUUAAUAAAUUUUGUAUUGUUAGUCGUUAUUUGUUUUUAUUUGAAACAUAUUAGACUUUUAUUGAUGUUUGAUUUAUUUAAAUAUUUUAUUAGAGUUGGCAGUAGACAUCAGUGGAUUAUAGGAACAACGAAUUAAUUCCAUUGAUGGACGAGUACCUGAUGAUCAAUUUAUCAUUUUGAAUUAAGGUAAUAUAUUACUGAAUAAGUCACUUUUUAUUACAAUUGACUUAGGCAAAAAUGUUAAUAUGUGACAUGUAAUAAUAGUAGCACCAUGUGUUGUACGAUCAUGUCUUAAAAUGGUGCAAUUCAAGCAUAGGUAAAAAACAAUGAAUUAAAGAUAACAUCACAUAGAUUCAAUAGCACAAGCCAUGUAAACAAUGACUUACAUUGUUGAAUAAGUCGUUGUUUAUUAUGUUGUCAUUCUUAAUUUUGUUCGAUAAGAUUUUUGUCCUAGAUUUUGUAGACUAAAAUUUCAAUUUUAUAAUGUGUUGAUAUUGAAAGUUCGUAAUAAAUAUCUUAUUUUUCCUGUAGUCAAUUGUAGUCAUUAAGUAUUCCCCAUUCUCUCUUACCAUGUUAU